GCGUCCGUAGCUCAAUGGAUAGAGCUCCUGACUUCGGAUCAGACGGUUGGGGGUUCGAGUCCCUCCGGGCGCA
rnacentral:tRNA from 1 species